UAUAAAUUACAGCGCUCCACUCACACACAUAAAGUAAUCUUUUUUUAAUUAACAUUACUCUGUGCUUAAUUUUUUUUUCAUAAAUAGAAUGGUUGCACAUUAUAUUACAAACAAUAUGGGCCUGUGUUUUGUAUAACAUUUCCCGACAGUAUUUAUUAAUUUAUCAUUUGUUUGUUUAAACCAUAGACUGUUUAAACAUAAACUUCCAACGGUCGACGUGCAGUUAUUGUAUUGUAUUGCAAUAGGAAACAGCGACGCCCGUAGACUAAAGCGAGUAUUACAGCUAAUCGCUUUGGUUGCCCCUUAGCUUUUGUAACCUUUUUAGUUACACCAAAUUACGGGGGAACAAAGUGGAACAAGAUGUUGGGAUUUGGGGUAACGUUAGUGUUAACGUACAUUUUAUUUUUAGAUUUUCAAACUGUCGUCGGAAUUUGGAGAUACAAGCAGAUUUUGGAGGAAAAAGAGUUAUUCAUCGUAGACAGUACUAUUUUUUUAGAAUACGAAGGAUCCUCUUUUUUGGAGUGGCAAUAUCCUGAUGGUUGUCAUGUGACUAAUAAGAGUUCACCUAAUGCUGUUAUGUGGUGUAAAUCCCCUGGAUUUCAAGCUAUAAAGCCACUUGUUUCUAACGUGUCUACAGAAAAAGAAGAAGAGCGACACCUUUAUAUAAGUGACUCAUUUUUCAGGCUUGCGUGGUAUGCUGUUAUUCCUUUGCUCAGGUUUUAACCAGCUCAAC